rnacentral:lncRNA from 1 species
AUGAAUGAUCAGUACUUUGCUAUGCAGACUCAUCUUAAAGGGACUUUUAAUGGUAACUUCUAUUAUUUUUCAGCAGUGUUUUCUUGUGUGCAUGUAGCCACUGUCACCUUUCACUCAUCCUCUUUGUCAACAUCAACAAUCAUAAAAGACAUGUUUCUGUUGAGCAAUCAAGGAAAAUGGAACAAACAAACAAAAAAGGAAAGGAGGAGGGAAAAUGCAGCAUGAGAAGAACACCCACUCAUUUACAGUAACUAUUUUUUUCCAAGUGAUACAUAAAAUCUCUCAUGUGUUAUUGCUGUCUUAUCACUUCUUGGCAUUUUUAUUGCUGUUCUAUUUUCAGUUUGGGGAAAUCUUGCUGCAUACUGUAUAUGUGUCUCAGAUUCAUUAAUUUUCACAGAAAAC